rnacentral:misc_RNA from 1 species
GCUUCCCUUCAUUUCAGGCAAACCUGCAGUGAAGAAGAGAUAACAAUCAUAUCUAGCAGGUGAAUAGAUCAAUAUGCACUUAAGUGCCACCUACAGGAAGGGCAACAACAUUUAUACUGGUCAGUGUUUAACAUGUGUGAGAUAAACACUAAACAGAUAAGAUACAAAUAAACAGAACAAGAGACAUACACACCAAAAUCUACAAUUUUGA